rnacentral:rRNA from 1 species
GACGAACGCUGGCGGCGUGCUUAACACAUGCAAGUCGAACGAAGAGCGAUGGAAGCUUGCUUCUAUCAAUCUUAGUGGCGAACGGGUGAGUAACGCGUAAUCAACCUGCCCUUCAGAGGGGGACAACGGUUGGAAACGACUGCUAAUACCGCAUACGAUCUAAUCUCGGCAUCGAGGAUAGAUGAAAGGUGGCCUCUACAUGUAAGCUAUCACUGAAGGAGGGGAUUGCGUCUGAUUAGCUAGUUGGAGGGGUAACGGCCCACCAAGGCGAUGAUCAGUAGCCGGUCUGAGAGGAUGAACGGCCACAUUGGGACUGAGACACGGCCCAGACUCCUACGGGAGGCAGCAGUGGGGAAUCUUCCGCAAUGGACGAAAGUCUGACGGAGCAACGCCGCGUGAGUGAUGACGGCCUUCGGGUUGUAAAGCUCUGUUAAUCGGGACGAAAGGCCUUCUUGCGAAUAGUGAGAAGGAUUGACGGUACCGGAAUAGAAAGCCACGGCUAACUACGUG